rnacentral:lncRNA from 1 species
AUGGAUGUUUCCGAGAGAGGGAGAAAAAAGACCCGGGCUUUGUUUUGCAUUUUGGUUUGUGUGUGUCCAUAUGUGAAGACACAGGUGUGGGAUUCCCUCAAGGGAGGAAUUGCUGGGUCAUAUGAUAUUCUGAUUUUCCAGUACGUUUUCAGAUCGAAAAUUAUUGGAAGAAACUGA